ensembl:lncRNA
CAUGUACUCAAUAAACUUUAUUAAUUUUAUUCAUUUCCAGCUCUGCUAACAGGAUGAAAGGUGGAAAUGCAUUAGAACAACACUGGAACAACAUUAUUACAAAAUACAUCCAGCUCAAAAAGAAAAAAAAACCCUUUUACAUGCAGGUAAAUGAAAGUUAGCUUGACCUCUUUACUACAUACAGCUGGACGGAUAAAAUCAUACAGAAAACAUAAGAAAAUAACAUGAUUCUCCUGUUCCAUCCCGUUUCAUACAUGUUUCACUUUUAUAGACGGGGACAGAGAAAACCAGUGACUGCAGAUGUGCCCUUUUUCUUUGAAGAUUGAAAGCCUUUGUGUGGUUGCUGAGCAAAAACAGUACAUGGCACUUAUUAAUCUAGCAAUUCAACCAGUCUUUGUCCCAAUAGCAGACAGAAAAGACAAAUGCUGUGCUAUGCAGGCAUUAUUAUUACCCUCACUAAGUAGGUGGAACCUGUUGCUGUUUGUUCAUCUGAACAAAAGAAGGUUUGCAGAAAAAAAACAAGUUAAACUUCAUGAAACUUGGUGGAGAGAUGGAAUUAAGGGCAUUAAGGUUUGACUUUUUAGAAAAAUAUCUACAUUUUUUAAAUUAUUUACUCUUAUCAUUACUGAAAUAACAUGGUUCAGUUUUGGGAAAGAAAUCUGAUGUCUACAUUUUUUAAAAACUACAGAAAAUCUCCACAGUAGUUUAAGUCACAUCUAAGGAAACCGUCAUCUUCCUCAAACUUUAACUAAAGAACUUUUUUGCCUAUUGUGACAACUCCUUCCACCCCAACCUCCUCCAGCUAUUAACAAACAUGUUAUCAGGUGAUCCUCAGAUUUUUAAGAGCACUGAACCUUAGACUUAACUUACAUUACAUGAUCACCCUGAAUUAGAUAAGCAGAUGAAAAUGGAUGUAUGGAUGGAUGCAUCCAUCCAUCCAUUCGCUUCCGCUUAUCCUUUUCAGGGUCGCGGGGGGCGCUGGAGCCUAUCCCAGCUGUCAUAGGGCGAGAGGCGGGGUACACCCUGGACAGGUCGCCAGUCUGUCGCAGGGCCAACACACAGGGACAGACAACCAUUCACACUCACAUUCACUCGCACAUUCACACCUAGUGACAAUUUCGAUUAUCCAAUUAACCUAUCCCCACAAGCUGCAUGUCUUUGGACGGUGGGAGGAAGCCGAGACCCGGAGGGAACCCACGCAAACACGGGGAGAACAUGCAAACUCCACACAGAAAGACCCUGGCCUGAUGGUGGAAUUGAACUCAGGACCUUCUUGCUGUGCGGCAACAGUGCUAACCACCGUGCUGCCCGUGGAUGCAUCACAACUUGGACCGUGGAUGCAUCACAACUUAAUUAAAAACAGUAUUAGUAACAUAUGAAUGUAAUUUAUUGUAGACAGGCUUGGAAAUUAAAUGCACUGACAAUUGCAUGUUAAAGGCACUGAUGUGCGGCAAACCUCCUGGAAAAUCCUCAAGGAUAACCACAGUCCUGUCAUUGGAACAGAGGCCUUUAAACACAACUUAAAAACAGCAACAUGGUGACAAUGUCAAAUAAAAAUCUUUUGUGACAAACCAAAAGCCUUUGAAAUAAAAAGGCACUGAUAUGGAACGUCUUCCCUUCACAUCUGCUGUGGUUUUAAAGGUAUAAUUCAUAUUAUAUAUAUAUAUAUAUAUAUAUAUAUAUACAUAUAUAUAUAUAUAUAUAUAUAUAUAUAUAUAUAUAUAUA